rnacentral:tRNA from 1 species
GGCCUCUACCGAGCGAGGUGGUGCAGUGGUUAGCACACUGGACUCGCAUUCGGGAGGACGACGGUUCAAUCCCGUCUCCGGCCA